UGGGGUGUAGCUCAAUGGUAGAGUGUUUGUUUAAUAUACUUGAGGUCCUGGGUUUGAUCCCCAGCACUGCAG
rnacentral:tRNA from 1 species